rnacentral:misc_RNA from 1 species
GAUGAAGAACGCAGCGAAAUGCGAUAAGUAGUGUGAAUUGCAGAAUUCAGUGAAUCAUCGAAUCUUUGAACGCACAUUGCGCCCCUUGGUAUUCCGGGGGGCAUGCCUGUUCGAGCGUCAUUAUAACCCCUCAAGCUCAGCUUGGUGUUGGGGCCUGCCAACUGGCAGCCCUUAAAAUCAGUGGCGGCGCCAUCUGGCUCUAAGCGUAGUAAUUUCUCUCGCUAUAGGGUCCCGGUGGAUGCUUGCCAACAACCCCCAAUUUUCUAUGGUUGACCUCGGAUCAGGUAGGGAUACCCGCUGAACUUAAGCAUAUCAAUAAGCGGAGGA